rnacentral:rRNA from 1 species
AGUGAACGCUGGCGGUAGGCCUAACACAUGCAAGUCGAACGGCAGCACAGUAAGAGCUUGCUCUUACGGGUGGCGAGUGGCGGACGAGUGAGGAAUACAUCGGAAUCUACUUUUUCGUGGGGGAUAACGUAGGGAAACUUACGCUAAUACCGCAUACGACCUACGGGUGAAAGCAGGGGAUCUUCGGACCUUGCGCGAUUGAAUGAGCCGAUGUCGGAUUAGCUAGUUGGCGGGGUAAAGGCCCACCAAGGCGACGAUCCGUAGCUGGUCUGAGAGGGUGAUCAGACACACUGGAACUGAGACACGGUCCAGACUCCUACGGGAGGCAGCAGUGGGGAAUAUUGGACAAUGGGCGCAAGCCUGAUCCAGCCAUACCGCGUGGGUGAAGAAGGCCUUCGGGUUGUAAAGCCCUUUUGUUGGGAAAGAAAAGCAGCAGGUUAAUACCCCGCUGUUCUGACGGUACCCAAAGAAUAAGCACCGGCUAACUUCGUG